AAGGAGCGAACACUCCAUUUACGACGCAGAAGUUAAAAGCUUGUCGGGGAACUGCAAUCUAGGGUUCUUACUCAACCAGCUGAAAUCUAGGUUUCUUACUCAACCAGUAUCGUGUCGAUCAGAGUGAAGCGUCCUCCACACGUAAAUUAGGGUUUUCGUAGUUCGAGGUUUAAGGAACUGUGAGGUUUCAAGUUUAAACAUCGAAGCUCAAAGUUAACAUUGAAUUAUCAUUUCGGAAUCCGAGGUAACAGCUUCGUUCCAUUUCAUUUCAAUUGAAAUGUUUUAGACGCACGCUAGAGUUAAAAUCUUUCUUCUGCUUGAGUUAAUCAAGGUCAUUUUACGUUUUGCAUAUCUUACGGGAGAGAAUCUCUCUACCUUAAGUUUUCGACUUUUGCAUGUGAUAGCCCUAGGUUGUUUUUACUUUUGCUGCCCUAAUUUCAGAAGCCUGAGAAAUCUCGUACUUAUUGAGGAUGAGAUCAUAGGGUAACUGGUACUCGAUUAUGGUGUUAAAAUUGUGAUCACAACCAUGCAAUUACAUGGGACCUAAUGUCGGGAUUAGAAAUGUAUUAGUGGCAAUGGAACUAACUAAGAUUCCUUGUGCUGGUUUUCAAAAAGCUAAAAGACGCAUUUCUAAACUUAUCUAGACAGGCUAGUCAUACUAGAUUUGACUUACUGCAUUGAUCCAGGGAGUCAUCAAUGGUUUUAGUUCUCUUUUCAUUUAUUUAUAGGAAUGCUUGCUUAUGAAGUUGAAGGGUGAUAUCACUCGUAGUACCCACUUUUUAUUGCAUAUAUAUUUUUUUGUUUAAACUUUAACUUAUUUCGUUUACACUUGAAUGUGGCUCUUUGCAGUACAUAGAGCAUGGGGCAUAGAUUAUUUUCUACUUCUACAGAGGUUGUUUUGGUUCUCUCUCUUGGGAAGAGUUUGUAUGAAGGUUACGCUUGCUAAUGGUUUAAAUAUGUGAAUCUUCUCUGUUCAAUAUGCUAUUCAGGGGAUGAAGAUUAGCGAUGGUAACUAGCUGUAAUCUUGUUCAAUUAGGAUUUGUAAUCAGAGGAGGGAAGUCAAAAUGAUAAGUGGGAACAGAACCACUGGCAUGAACCAAAUGAUAAGUCUUUUGAUGGACUGUGAGUAGUUAGCUAACUAUGCAAGGACUGACUUUUGCUGUCAUUAAUCUUUCCAGUGCUGUGGAGACUGAUGAAAUGUGAGAAAAAUGAACGAAAUUUUGCUUAGAAUCGUUGAAGAUGUCAAGUGCUGAUUCAUCUAUACCCGCUUCCGCUUCAUAUAUUUUUAUGGCAUAAUCUGACUACAUACUGGAUUUACCAGUCCGGAAGAUAGGGCAUUACUUUGUUCACAGUAAUGGCAAGCUGAUAUUCAGCAGCUUCUUACUUAAGUGGUUGACAAUGUUUUUUAGAAUUUGAUUUCAAAGAGAAUCUAAACCCACUUGAGCACAAGCUGCUUAGAAAGCCCUUUCUGUUUCUAUCAAAGAAGAGCAGAUAUCACUUGAAGGAAAGGUGAAACCUUGCAUACACUGUCAGAAAUAAGGAAGUCAGAUUGCAAAAGGGACAAAUGGGGUGUUUUAAGUUCUGUUGACGUUGGACAUGAUUUAUGAGCUGAUGUAUUGUGCAUGGUUGUCAGCAUCUUGUGGAGCCGCAAUCUGGUGUUUGUACAAGGAAUGUGAAAUGCAUGAUGGGAGGCCAUAAUACGUUAAAUUGGUUACGAAAGCACACUUCCUUGUUUAUAAAUUUAAUGAACCAGAAAUAUUCCCUCAUGGUGGCAAUAAUAGGAUUCUUUCCUUUUAAAUGGAAGAACACCUUCACAAUAAUCCUCCUUUUAAAUGAAGGAGAUAGUUAGGAUUUUAAUUACCACCUUCAAGUUUCCAGCCUUGCACCUCCCAACUAUGUGGCCUGUAAUAUUCUUUUUUGUUCGUUAAAGAUUUCGGAGAAUCUUAAUGAUGUUUUACAUAUGGAAUAUAGAGAUAAAGACAAUAUUGUGGGAAAGUGGACUAGAAUCUAAUCGGCAAAAAGAGAAGAGAUGCAUAACGGUACUGUAUUUUGACUGGUCAGGGUCAAGGGACUCUGGAGUGGACUUAAUAUUUAUUAUUGCAAUUGCAAUGAUAUAAAUAGGAAAGAACCUUCAUAUUAC
rnacentral:lncRNA from 1 species